ACUGGACCCCCAGGACCAAAGCUACCGCCACCACUACCCUCACCCCCACCAGAGCUACUCUCACCCCCCUCCUCCCCCCUACGGCCAGCCCCCAGCCCCUGCCGGUGGGGGCGUGGAGGAGCCUCGAGCGUUCCACCCCCCUGCCCUGUCUCCACGGUUACUGCACCCCGCUGUCCAUCAUUCUCAUCAAGCUGCUCACCACCACACACAGCAGCAAGGAGCCAUGGUCAUGGACCUUCAUGAACAGGCCUCAGUCCCAGUCUCCUAUACGGUGACUCCUGUCCCUUCUCAUCAUGGUCUUGUAGCUCCUCUGUAUACAGGACAGCACCUCCCUCCUGUCUGUUCUUCUCAACAACAGAUCCCAGCAUGCAGUGUGGUCUUCAGUACAGGACAACACUACCACCCUAUGCUGGGGGCGUGUUCGGUGCAGCAUUUACCUGUGCCCUACUCCUUUCCCUCCCUCCUCUCCAAUGAUCCUCCUUUCCUCCUCCCCCCUCCCCACCUCUCUCACCACCCCCCUCACCUCCCUCCACCUGGACAUUUCCUUCCCUUCCCGACACAACAGUCCAGAUCGGUAAGAAACACAUCUCU